rnacentral:lncRNA from 1 species
GGGGUUCUACAUGGCUUUAAGCCUAGUUUUAAUAGUUUUGUCACAAAUCAGGGGUAGAGCUUAUUCCGAGGAAACUUUUUUAAGUGAUAACUUUGCAAUUCAACCUAAUGAGGUCCCAGGUGGCUGGAAGAAGAAAUUUUCUACCAUUAGCACCAUAUGCAUUAUAACUAGCUUUGCUCAUUUUAUCCACCAACAAAGCUCCAGGAUACCCUGGAUAAGCUCCAGCGCCAAAUAUUCCAGGACAAGCUGUCACAGCCUCCAAUGGUGCCAACGCGUCCC